CCUACGGGUGGCAGCAGUGGGGAAUAUUGGACAAUGGGGGCAACCCUGAUCCAGCCAUGCCGCGUGUGUGAAGAAGGCCCUCGGGUUGUAAAGCACUUUCAGUGAGGAAGAACGCCUGGUGGUUAAUACCCAUCAGGAAAGACAUCACUCACAGAAGAAGCACCGGCUAACUCCGUGCCAGCAGCCGCGGUAAUACGGAGGGUGCGAGCGUUAAUCGGAAUUACUGGGCGUAAAGCGCGCGUAGGUGGCUUGAUAAGCCGGUUGUGAAAGCCCCGGGCUCAACCUGGGAACGGCAUCCGGAACUGUCAAGCUAGAGUGCAGGAGAGGAAGGUAGAAUUCCCGGUGUAGCGGUGAAAUGCGUAGAGAUCGGGAGGAAUACCAAUGGCGAAGGCGGCCUUCUGGACUGACACUGACACUGAGGUGCGAAAGCGUGGGUAGCAAACAGGAUUAGAUACCCUAGUAGUC
rnacentral:rRNA from 1 species